rnacentral:rRNA from 1 species
GCUCUAUCUAGUGCCGUCCUUGCAGCAUGCUACAUGGCUGCAAUCUACUGGGCUGGUGGCCAAACUGGGCCAGUCUUGUCCUUACGGCGUACACGAUCAACAGCGACCUGAAAUAAUGGCGGUCAUCGACGCGGGUAGAUGUGGAUUCUUCCCCGGGAUAAUAAUGCUGAUAAACUUCAGCAUUCGAUCGUGUUCUCUGGCGUCCAAAUCGACACCUUGGUUGCAGCCGCGUCACGGGGCUCCCCUCUCGUCGCGUCAACGCCCCAAGCCGCUCUGCUUCUUUUUUAUGGUUGAGGAAGUAGGUACAGUUCACAAGGAGCCAGGGAAGUGCCGAGUUGACCGUUUGAUUGUGUCCAGUAGGUGAGCGGCAGACGGGCGGAUCGUCCCGAGCACCGGCGACAUGGCGUUGGCCGGCGGAGAUGCUCGCGGCGAGCUCGUCUGCGUGACCGGCGGCAGCGGCUUCAUCGGCUCCUGGCUCGUCCGCCUCCUCCUCGGCCGCGGCUACACCGUCCACGCCACCGUCCAGAACCUCCAGGACGAGGCCGAGACGAAGCACCUGCAGGCUCUGGAUGGCGCGGACACGCGGCUCCGGCUGUUCCAGAUGGACCUCCUCGACCCCGCCUCCGUCCGGCCGGCGGUCGAGGGCGUCCACGGCGUCUUCCACCUGGCCUCCCCCGUGAUACUGCAGCCCGCACAAGACCCCGAGAACGAGCUGCUGCUGCCGGCGAUCAACGGCGCGCUCAACGUCCUCCGCGCGGCGAAAGACAGCGGGGUCAAGCGUGUCGUGAUGGUGUCUUCGCAGACGGCCAUGUGUCCGACUGCCGCCGACUGGCCUGCCGGCAAGGUCAUAGACGACGACUGCUGGGCCGACGUUGAGAUCCUCAAGAAACUUGAGCUUUGGUACAACGUCUCCAAAACGCUGGCCGAGAAGGCGGCGUGGGACUUCGCCGGAGAGGAAGGAUUGCAGCUGGUUGUGCUGAAUCCGGGGUUGGUGUUGGGCCCGACGUUGACCCCGGCACCUACUGGUAGCCUCCGUCUGCUGAUGCUGCUUCUGGGAGGCCAGAAGCUUGACAUGGAACCCUUCUUCGUCGGCUGCGUCGACGUCAGAGAUGUGGCACAAUCUCUGGUGGUGCUCUAUGAGAACCCGUCGGCGCAGGGACGCCACCUGUGCAUGGAGUCAGCCGUACGCCUCGUCGAUUUCCACGAUGAACUUGCUAAUCUUUACCCCGAAUUUCCGGUUCACAGGAUCCAGGAGGACAAGCAGGGCUGGGUGGUGAGAUCAAAGGCUCCGUCCAAGAAACUGAUCGAUCUGGGCGUUCGUUUCACCCCAUUCGACAAAACUGUCAGGGACACGGUGGAUUGCUUGAGGAACAAAGGAGAAAUCUAGCCUCCAAACAAAUGUACAUUUGCAGGAAUAAAUUCUGCUGGAAAACUGCCGCGGUGCAUAGACAUAAAGCGAAUAAAGUUGAGUUGAACUACUAUGUGAGGAUGUUGUACAAUGGCGCUUCACGGGUUUUUAUGGUAAUCCAAAUUGGAGUGAUUGUCACUUGUCUUGGGGUGAUAUUCGUAAUUUUCAUAAUAAGGACACUCAUCCUUGGAUCGUCUUAGGAGAUUUUAAUGAAAUUUUAUACUCUUUGGAAAUCAUGGGUGGUAAUGCGAGACCUAAUGCAAUGAUGGAGUUCCGUGAUUGUCUCAUAGAGCGUGGUUUGGACGAUUUGGGUUUCCCUGGCGAUCCUUUUACCUCGAGAAGAGGUGAAAUCAGGUAACAACUGGACCGGGCAGUUUGCAAUGUGGACUGGGCACAUAAAUUUCUUCGGAUUGCAUUUAUUAACGAGGAACACGUACACUCUGACCAAAGCAUGUUGGUUCUGGAUAUGGAUUAUUUCGGUGACAAUAUGUUUAGUCGUCCGAAGAGCCGUGUGAAACAAUUGGAAGGCAGGUGUCUGAAACAAGAGACCGUUGUUGAAAUUGUCACGUCGUCCUGA